AACGCACAUUGCACCCUAUAGCAUUCUGUAGGGUAUGCCUGUUCGAGCGUCAUUACAACCCUCAAGCUCUGCUUGGUAUUGAGUGUCACCGCAGCGGUGCACUUCAAAUCCAGUGGCGGCGCCAUUUAGGCUCCAGUGUAGUAAAUCUCUCGCUGUGGAUACCUAAGUGUGCUCUUGCCGUCAACCUCUUAAAUUUUCAAAGGUUGACCUCGGAUCAGGUAGGGAUACCCGCUGAACUUAA
rnacentral:misc_RNA from 1 species